ACACGUAUGAAAGACAAGCUGAAAGACUUUUCUCAAUGAUGUAAGUGGUGGUGCAUGGUCGUUCUUAGUUCGUGGAGUGGUUUGUCUGGUCUAUUCCGAUAACGAGCGAGACCCCGGCGUUCCUAAUAGGGGUGGCAGCCCGGCUCGUGCCUCGGCACUUGCUAGCAGCCACCUCGCAAUUGCUUCUUAGACGUAUCAGAGCCGAUAAGGUUCUUGAAAUGGGUUAAUAACAGGUCAGUCAUGCCCUUAGAUGUUCUGGGCCGCACGCGCGUUACAAUGGUAGGCUUAAAGAGUGCCUUUUGCGGGCGUUUCCGGGGCCGUCAGGUCCUGGUAACCCCUAGUCUCUCCCUUGACUGGGCCAGACUAUUGCAAUUAUUGGUCUCAAACGAGGAAUUUUUAGUAGUCGCAGGUCAUUAGCCUGCGACGA
rnacentral:rRNA from 1 species